AGUCGAGCGAGCUGAACAGCAGAUUCACUUCGGUGAUGACGCUGGGAACGCGAGCGGCGGAUGGGUGAGUAACACGUGGGUAACCUGCCCUAAAGUCUGGGAUACCACUUGGAAACAGGUGCUAAUACCGGAUAACAACAAUAGCUGCAUGGCUAUUGCUUAAAAGGCGGCGAAAGCUGUCGCUAAAGGAUGGACCCGCGGUGCGUUAGCUAGUUGGUAAGGUAAUGGCUUACCAAGGCGACGAUGCAUAGCCGAGUUGAGAGACUGAUCGGCCACAUUGGGACUGAGACACGGCCCAAACUCCUACGGGAGGCAGCAGUAGGGAAUCUUCCACAAUGGGCGAAAGCCUGAUGGAGCAACGCCGCGUGAGUGAAGAAGGUUUUCGGAUCGUAAAGCUCUGUUGUUGGUAAAGAAGGAUAGAGGUAGUAACUGGCCCCUAUUUGACGGUAAUCAACCAGAAAGUCACGGCUAACUACGUGCCAGCAGCCGCGGUAAUACGUAGGUGGCAAGCGUUGUCCGGAUUUAUUGGGCGUAAAGCGAGCGCAGGCGGAAAGAUAAGUCUGAUGUGAAAGCCCCCGGCUUAACCGAGGAAUUGCAUCGGAAACUGUGUUUCUUGAGUGCAGAAGAGGAGAGUGGAACUCCAUGUGUAGCGGUGGAAUGCGUAGAUAUAUGGAAGAACACCAGUGGCGAAGGCGGCUCUCUGGUCUGUAACUGACGCUGAGGCUCGAAAGCAUGGGUAGCGAACAGGAUUAGAUACCCUGGUAGUCCAUGCCGUAAACGAUGAGUGCUAAGUGUUGGGAGGUUUCCGCCUCUCAGUGCUGCAGCUAACGCAUUAAG
rnacentral:rRNA from 1 species